UACGUAGGGGGCGAGCGUUGUUCGGAAUUACUGGGCGUAAAGGGCGCGUAGGCGGCUUGGUCAGUCCCGUGUGAAAUCCCUCGGCUCAACUGAGGAACUGCACGGGAAACUGCCUGGCUUGAGUUCGGGAGAGGGAAGCGGAAUUCCGGGUGUAGCGGUGAAAUGCGUAGAUAUCCGGAGGAACACCGGUGGCGAAGGCGGCUUCCUGGACCGACACUGACGCUGAGGCGCGAAAGCUAGGGGAGCAAACGGG
rnacentral:rRNA from 1 species